GUUUGGUGAAAGUUAGUUGUGCAAAAAAUUUUCUCCUGUAAAAGCUAGAACAAGGGCAAUGGUUCUCAUCACAAACUCCAUCGCCUACGAUUUGCUGGCGUUCUUCGUGACACUCACAGUUAUCGUCUACGCCUACUUCAAAUGGAGUUACCAGUAUUGGAAGAGGAAGAAUAUUCCACAUUUCGAGCCCAAGAUACCGUUCGGAAACUUUCCCAAUCCGCUGACAAGCAAACUGAGCAUAGGAGAGAACAUUGCUCUGUUGUACAGAGAAGCAAAAGCAAGAGGUUGGAAGGCCUGUGGACUCUAUACAAUGGCGGUUCCAGUGUACAUGGUGCUUGACUUGGAUUUGGUGAAACGUAUAAUGACAAAAGAUUUCAACAAUUUUAUGGACAGAGGGGUCUAUUUUAACGAAAAGGCCGAUCCAAUAAGUGCGCAUCUAUUUGCCAUAACCGGAAUGAAAUGGAAGAACUUGAGGGCCAAACUGACGCCGACAUUCACAUCCGGGAAGAUGAAGAUGAUGUUCCAGACAAUGGCGGACUCUGGUGUGAUCCUAGAAAAGUAUAUCAAGGAUGAAGUUGCAGGCAAGCAAGUCGUGGAUAUUAAGGAUGUUUUAGGUCGUUUUUCUACGGACAUCAUCGGCUCGUGCGCGUUUGGUCUGGAAUGCAACAGCUUCGAACAACCCAAUUCUCCUUUCAGGGUCUAUGGGAAGAAGAUCUUGGAGAGCUCCACAUUGGAGUUGAUGAAAGAGGCCUUCUGCAUCAGCUUCCCCAAAGCCGCUAGGGCCCUUUCUCUCCGCGUGUUCAAGAAAGAAGCCUGCGAAUUCUACACAUCGGUCGUGCACGACACCAUCUCGUACAGGGAGAAGAACAACCUCAGGCGCAACGACUUUAUGCAGCUGCUCAUGGAGAUGAGGAACAAAGAUGACAAUACUACAGAAGACAGUAACACCCUGACCAUGCCAGAGAUAAUAGCGCAAAGCUUCGUCUUUUUCGUAGCUGGAUUCGAGACCAGCUCCACCACCAUGACCUUCGCCCUGUUUGAAUUGGCGAGGAACCCCGACAUCCAGGACAAAGUAAGGGAAGAAAUCCGCACAGUCCUCGCGAAACACGACAACAAAAUCACUUACGAUUCGAUCAAUGAGUUAGUUUACAUGAGACAAGUCAUCGACGAGACCCUCAGGAUGUACGCUCCCAUCCCACUUUUGACAAGAGAAAGUGCCGAAGACUACAAAAUACCUGGUCAAGAUUUUAUCUUAGAAAAAGGCACCAUCGUCUUCAUACCUGCAACAGGUAUACACUACGACGAAGACCACUACGAGAAUCCCAAAGUUUUUGACCCCGACAGGUUCAGUGCGGAGAACAAGAAGGCCAGGCAUCCCUACGCCCAUCUGCCGUUUGGGGAAGGUCCCAGAGUAUGUAUUGGUGAAAGAUUUGGAAUUCUACAAACAAAAGUCGGACUGACAUCCACUUUGAAGGACUUUAAAGUUACCCUAAGCGAGAAAACCAAACUGCCUUUAAAAAUGAAUCCGCAUGAAAAGGUUACCUCGACGAUUGGUGGUAUUUGGUUGAAGUUCGAAAAAGUUUAAACAGAUAUAAAUUGACCAAACUCAUCUUGUCUGCCAGUUGCGUAAGAUCAAGAAUAGAAUCUGGAGGACGAGUGACUUAACAAUAGGGCAGGUUUCUUUACGUUGGUCCGAUAAAUAUAGUUACUCAAUGAAGGUUUUGUAUUAUAUGUAUACUCAAAUAUAUGAGCAAAUGUCAUCUGCAACUGGUGGACAAGAUGAAUUUAAUCAAGCUGUAUUAUUUCUGUCACAUUAAUAUAUUGUAUAUAUAUUUCUUACAAAAUAGAUACAUAAAUAAAAUGA